GCUAUCUUACGAUCGCUACCGGGACGGAUCGAACGCGACCGCGUGAGGUGUAAAUCACUCCCCCACUGAAUUUGGCGACGCACUCAUCGCCAUAUAUCGCUGAAGCAUAGACCUUAUUUUCCAUAAGUCAAUCUCAUUUUCCCACCUUGUGCCAUGACAUUCCCGUGUCAUGCCAAGCUUUAAGUCAUGACCUUGCGAUCCG
rnacentral:lncRNA from 1 species